UAUGUCGGCUGACCACACAUGUGAGCAAUUCAGCAGGACCUAUUCUAUCAAGGAUCGGUAAUUGGGAAUAAGCUUCUCAUUUCAUCCUAAAGGAUUCUGUCACUCCACUGAAAUCUUAAGAGUCUCCAGUGCUUGUUAGGAAAGUGUGGAAGAUGAACCCCUUCUUCAUCCACAGAUCUGCCCUGCCGGUGUUUGACACCCGAGUCUGAAGCUGGCACCUCAUCCAUUCCCUAGUCCUGCCUUUUUGCUCCCCGGGCUCCCUUUCCAGUGCCACCAUCGCCCUCUUUGCACUUCCCUCGCACUCCAUCUCAGAAGCAGACUUCAAGGAGAUCAAAAGAGGCUGCUCCUCAAGGAAGAGCAGGGGUCCUGCGGCUAGAAAGCGGGGGGCAGUCUCUGUCCACACUCAAAAAUCAAAGAAUUAGCCCGACUUAAUCAAACAAAAUAUUACUAUGUUUUCCGAACAACUUAUUCAGCUCAGAGUCAAGCAACUCCACCCCCACCUUCAGCACCAGCCCCCUGGACCACCCAGCAGCCAACAUUGAGGCGAGACCCUCCACCAGCAAAAAGAUUACAACUCACUGGAGACUCCGAUGAUGGUUAGCAUUUUUAGCAAUAAAGUAUUUUUAAUUAAGGCAUGUACUUUUUUUUAGACAUAAUGCUAUUUCACACUUAAUAGGAUACAGUAUAGUGGAAAUAUAACUCAUAUAUACUGGGAAAC
rnacentral:lncRNA from 1 species